rnacentral:rRNA from 1 species
GAUGAACGCUGGCGGUCUGCUUAACACAUGCAAGUCGAACGAACUCUUCGGAGUGAGUGGCGGACGGGUGAGUAACGCGUGAGAAUUUACCUUUAGGAGGGGGAUAACAACGAGAAAUUGUUGCUAAUACCCCAUAUGCUUUCGAGUGAAAUGGAUUUUUCCGCCUAGAGAGAAGCUUGCGCCUGAUUAGCUUGUUGGUAAGGUAAUGGCUUACCAAGGCGACGAUCAGUAUCUGGUUUGAGAGGAUGAUCAGACACACUGGAACUGAGACACGGUCCAGACUCCUACGGGAGGCAGCAGUGGGAAUUUUCCGCAAUGGGCGAAAGCCUGACGGAGCAAGACCGCGUGGGGGAGGAAGGUUUUUGGAUCGUAAACCCUUUGUCAAGGAAGAAGCUCCGACGGUACUUGACGAAUAAGCCUCGGCUAACUCCGUGCCAGCCGCCGCGGUAAUU